CCAGGAAGGUCUCAUGGCCCUAUCCAACCUAAUUUGGUAAAGGUAACGGCCUUUACCAAGGCUUAAGACGGGGUUAACCUGGUCUGAAGAAGGAUGAAUCCAACCCACCACUUGGGGACCUUGAGACCGGCCCAGACUCCCUACCGGGAGCACAAUAGGGGAAUCUUGCCGCAAAUGGGCGAAAGCCUGACGCAGCCACGCCCACGUGUGGGUACGACGGCCUUCGGGUUGUAAACCACUUUUCAGCAGGGAAGAAAAUGACGGUACCUGCAGAAGAAGCCCCGGCCAACUACGUGCCAGCAGCCGCGGUAACACGUAGGGGGCGAGCGUUGUCCGGAAUUAUUGGGCGUAAAGGGCUCGUAGGCGGUUUAGUAAGUCAGAUGUGAAAACUCAGGGCUCAACCCGGAGACGCCAUCUGAAACUACUAUGACUAGAGUUUGGUAGAGGAGUGCAGAAUUCCCGGUGUAGCGGUGAAAUGCGCAGAUAUCGGGAGGAAUUCCAGUCAGCGAAGGCGGCACUCUGGGCCAUAACUGACGCUGAGGAGCGAAAGCGUGGGGAGCAAACAGGAUUAGAUACCCUGGUAGUC
rnacentral:rRNA from 1 species